rnacentral:pre_miRNA from 1 species
CCGAGGUUCUCUUUGUGAUUUUCCACAGCUUUCUUGAACUGUGUCGAGAAAAUCUGCAUUCCCAUGCAAUGGUAUACAUACAACAUUCGGCACCGGGAAAACACAGUUCAUGAGAGCUGUGGAAAAUUACUGAGAGGAUCUUCUUU